UACACUGCUUAAUCCUCAGUAGGAUCUGGAUUGCUGGAGUUUAUCCUAGAUGACUUAUGGUGAAGGCAGGGGACAGCCUGGACAGCGCCACCAGUCUAUCACAGACCUACAUAUACAGACAAACUAUCACACUUCCGUCCACACCAAUUUAGAGUUACCAUUUAACCUAAGCAUGUUUUUGGACUGUGGGAGGAAGCCGAAGUACCUGGAGAGAAAACCCACACAUGCACAGGGAGAACGUGCAAACCGGGGAUCUUCCAGCAGCAAGGCAGCAGUGCUAACCACCAGUGGCGGAUCUUCUGUUGGGCCACGUGGGGGGGGGGGCAGUGCCCCUGUGACCUGACUGACCACCAGUGUGCCCCCCCCCCCCCGAAAAAUUUCGUUCAAUUCAUUCAUUGGUGCCAAUGAAUGCAGCAAUGACAUUGGUUUGAUCUUUCGAUUGUGUUUGGUUUGGAUUUGAAGAAGCUUUGAAGACGUUUUCUGAUGUCAGAGGAGAAGACGAGCAGCUUUGUACCUUUGUGAGUGAAAGUAGCAGUUCCUCCUUAAGGUCAGAGAUUGCAGCAUCUGAGGGCCUCUUCAAAAGAAGACGUAGUUGAUGAAGAUGUUCUGGAGCAGAAAGAUCACGACCAAGCAGCCUGGAGAUCUUUGGCAGCGUCUCCCUCAGGUCCCUCUCUAUCUCCCCACAUCCCAAACAUCCACCAACCACUGGAACACAUCGCCAAAGUUCUGCUGAAGCUCAGCUUCCCCUCAGAAGAAGUGCCGCCAGAUGAAGGAGCCUUUUGAGAGGCAGCUGGCAUCGUGAUUGGACUGUACUUUGGUCUGUUCCAAUCCAGCUUCAGCUCCAGAGACGGCAGGUGGGACGAGUCAACGGAGGCCGAGUGGACGAAGACAUGCAGCUGAGUACAAUCCAGAAAACAACAGAGGAGGAGUGCAGCGGCCCAGGACCAGAACAAACAGAGUAGCAUAGUGUAGCAUAGAUGAGAAAACAUCAUAGUAUAGCCUUUGGGAUGAAAAAAUGGCAUCAUAUACAUAGUAUAUUGUAAAAAUAAGUCAAAGGAAAGAGACAUACAUUGUAGAAUUGUAGUAACUGUGGGCUGACUGAUUUAUUGAUUAUCAGUAUUUUAGUUUUUACCGAUUUAUGGUAAUGAAUACAUUUAAAAAGGGCGCUACUUUGGCUCUGAACCUUUAUCUACCUGUGGUCGCUCUGUCUUCUGGAGUGAUUUGAUUGGUUAUACAGUUGUGCUCAUAAGUUUUCAUACCCUGGCCAAAUUUGUGAAAUAUUGUCCUUUAUUUUUUAAGCAAAUAUGUUUGUUAAUGGAAACAUUUUUCUUUCAUUUAGGACUGGUGUUCAGACAAAGCUAUUUAUUGUCAUGCAAUUGUGUUUGCUCUGAUCAUUGAUGUUUUCAUUAAAGAAUGGAGCAUAUUUUAUAAAUUCUGCCAGGGUAUGUAAACUUAUGAGCACAACUGUACGUCGCGAAUGAAACUCCUUCAACGUAACAUCUGGAAACAAAACAAAAAUGUAUCAACAAAGUUUUCUGUUAGAGUUUGUGUUCAUCUAAGUUUAACUCCAAGAUUUUAAAUACUUUCAUUUACUGCAAAUGAAAGUAAAAUGAAAGUAUCUGCUCCAAAUGUCUCACUAAUAAUCAUUAUCAGCCUUAAAAACUCACAAAACACCUCUCUAUACUCGACCACACUUAGUACAGUCCGGUCCCCCCUUCUAUAAAUCUGAUUAGAAUCUUCCACUUCCUGUUUGUCAAAGUGGCCUUUCACCUGGACAGGUUUUGUUGGAGCUCAUGCAACAAACAUUUUGGGUAAUUGCACUUUAAUAUACAUGGAUGACACUGAAUUUGAGUUCUUUUUAAUGAGACUAAGUUCAGAUGUGUAGCUCUGUCAUUAAAUAGGAAAUUAUUUCCCAGAAUUCACAGAGAAAAGUCUGAAAUGUUUUCUCGGUUAGCGUCCCACAUGUUCUUUGGCUCAGCUAAAGCUAACUCUCUCCACCUUCUGGGUCUCUUGAGUUGCUUGUUGUUAGUAUAUCUUGCUAGAGGUGCUGAAGCUCAGAAAGUCUGAGAUGUUUGUUCAGAAUAAGCUCAUUGUCAAGUCUUAUCUGAACUUUCCUCUUUUGUUUGAACUUUCCCUAAACUUUGGAGUUAAUGACAGAGCAGCACAUCCAGGCUCAUUUAUGUAGAGAUUAAACUUCAGUGUCAUUCAUUGAUGUUAAAGUGCAGUUUUUCACAUGUUUGUUGCACAUGCUCCCAACCAAACCAGUCCAGGUGGAAGACGAUAUGAAGAGAAAGCUUCAGAGCUUUGCGACUAUUAUUGUGAACGUAAUAACAGACUGACACUCACAAGACUGCAAAUAUAUCAUGGUGACUACAAAUACACACUCCAACAAUAUCCUCAGCAUCUCUACUCACUUAUUUUGCCACUCAAAGGGUUACAAACGAACUGGCAGACGUUGAAAAGAGACUAGCAUUCUCAUGUUAAUGAAGCUGUUAGCACUUCCUGUCGAGCCGGUCAUUGGCUGAGGCAGCAUCAUCAUAUGAGCACUGACUGAAAGAAACGAUGCCUUGAAGCAGAAAGUUAACAAAGAAAGUUGAAAACCACCUUCUGAUACCUGAAAUCUCUGAAUUUUCACACAAAGAACGCCCGAACAUGUCAAACUGGUUUCAUAGUAGAACCUUCACUGUAAAAACGUCAUAGUAUGGUGUGUUGCUCAAAAAACAUUACAACCGGCUGUCUAGGGUCGCCGAGGAGCGAAAACAGGACAAGUGCUGGUUUCCAGGGGGUUAGGAGGCUAUUUAUUUGAAAGAGUAAAUUUACAACAACACGUGUUGUCAACAAGCCUUUCCCUUAAUGAGGAUUAAGUGGUGUAUAGGCAAUGGAUGGAUGAGUUAAAUUGAGUUAAGGGAAAUGCUACAAAUGUGUGUGUUCCAAAUAGUUUUAGUGAUGUAUGUAUCUAAACAAAUGUGAAAAACAAAACAAAAGAAAAUUGCAAUGUAUUAUGCCCUCCAUUCCCCUGUUAAUAUACUCUUAUGCUGCAAAGCUAGCAGCAAAGCAGAUCAAACCAGCCCACCGAGAGCUUCAGCUGGAGAAUGAAGGUGACAGUGGCAGAAGGUCAGGAAAAAAACAUGACAAGUAGUAACUGUAACUGAUCAGUAACUGUAAUGUGAUCACUGUACUUAGGAGUAAUGUUUUCGAUUACCGCAUUACAGAUAAAUGUAAUGUGAUUACAAUAGUGUGUGUCAUUUGUUCUGCAUUUCUUUUAACACUGCUCUUCACCAUGCAUACUAUUAGUUUCAACUGACAUCCCAUGACACACACUCUUUCAAGAUACAAACAUAUCUCAGUUCUUAUGCAACCUGUCUUUUAACUCAGCCUCUCAUCUGGCAGCAAGCCUGAGGUUCACACGCAACUGUGUGCAGGCGUGUUGCACUACUGUUCCAAACCCAGUCAGAAAUCACAACAACCCUUUCUCACACUACCUCAGAGCGUUCUGGUUGCGGCUGAGGUGCUUGUGUCUUUAAGAGAGACUUGACCCAAUUAUUUCAAUUACCUUGGGGAAAAAAAGCCAAAGAUAAACUAUAAAUCAAGAAACGGUGGGAGAGACCGAACCUGAUAUUAUCUAUCAGAACAAACAACACCUGCUGCUUGCAUGCGAAGGGUACGCUCGUUUAAAUGACAGACGUGCAGCAAAUGAGCACAUUUUUAUUACCCAUAACUUUUAAAAGGGAAGCGAAACAUAAACAGUGCAUGUGUGAAGAGCAAACUCCUACAAGUGUAAAGAUGGAAUUUCCCCUCUCAUGUGGAGGGGGAGGUGAAAAAAGAGACAAAUUACUUCCCCAGCAGUCUGUGUGUGACUCUUCCAAGAAAGUUCAGCAUAUGAAGGACUGGUGAGGCCUGGUGUCUUUGCCUUCAUGACACCAUUCCUCUUUUAUCUGUGUGGGUGGCUAUGGCUGCUCAGUCACACGCUAUCUCUCAGCUGGGCAGGAAUCCCAUGCUAAGGCCAAUUACUAAAGGUGUCACUUCUCGAGACACCUUCUAACCUCCUCAUAGCUGGAGCACAACACUUAACUGAUCUGUUUUAUUUUUCCACUGGUUUAAAGAAUGUGCUCUCACCAGUAACGUGCUGGUGAAAGUUGGUAGAGUUGGGGUGUUCAUCUCUGUGGAUGUGUGUGUAUGUUUGUCAAGUCUGCUCCUCUUCAUGACUAAUUUGGGGUCAGGCCAGGAUUGCAGCAGUCUAAACCAUGGGGACAGGUGAGUCUUUAGGCCAUCAGAGAAAGGAGGUUAUUACUCUGGAUUCAGAGGAUUUGGCUGCCCCUCCUCGUAAUUAACGGCAGAGAACAGCGCCCAGAAUUUUACUGGCACGUCCUGAGCUCUACGUGACAACAGACAUGCUUUAAGAACUGUGCAGUUGAAAAGACAUGGGGAUUCCCUCUCACACAUACAGCUGAUGUGUGUCACCUUUCACCAAAUGACACCAAUUUCUUUAUCCACCAUCAUUAAACCACUAUGAAUGUCUCAACAUCCUUCAGCAUUGAGGGAUUUAGACCAAAUAUGCCUGCGAUGCUGCUGCGAUAGAAAGUAAAGCGAUAGCUAGAACUUAGCUGUCCUUUCUUUACCUUGCCUCUGAUACAGAGACAACCUCUGGCCACACACACACGUAGAUGUGAGAUUUUUAUCAAGGGCAGGGCAAUGUAUGAACUACAGUCUAAAUAGAGAAAGACUGGUGUGCCUAAUGGCACUCAUCAUGGCAACAGGGGGAGUCUGGCAACUUGCACGUACACACAAACAAAAACAACAUGAUCUGGGGCAGGAUGGUGCCUCCUCAGGUGGUUAUGCAAUGCUCUCUAUGAUCGAGGAGCGAUAUGCUUUUCUACAAAGCUUAUGUAAAUUGAGUGUUUGGGGCCGACAGGAGUCUCUUGCCCAUAAACAUCAGUUUCAUUGCCAAAUAUGAAGUAUUUUGCAUCUACACUUAUGCCAGAAGGUGACUCCUCUGAAAGUCAGAAAAAAUGUCCAACAGAAAUUGGCACUUUUCUUUGUAAGUUUUAAUAUACUGUGAGUGUUCCUGUUUAUGUGAAGACAGGACCUCCCAUAGUCGUGUGGCACGUUGCCAGUCCUUCCAGUAGCCCCCUUCUCUGUGCUGAUACACCUGAGUUCUCCUGACCGACCACUGAACCAGCACAGCAGCAGGGAGGGAGGCAAACUAUGUGUGGUCACUGGAGUAGAACAGUGAGAGCCUGGACCCCAGAAGACCAACGCUUUCCAACCCAGUCCUGUGUAGGAUGCAAGAAAUUCAGGAUGCAGAAAAGAGUGUUACUGUAUCAUACAGAUGCAGCUUUCAAUAUCCAGUGGACAAAACUGCUGCGUCUAAAUGUAAAAUGGAAACAGCAUUCAUUCAAAAUCACAAAACAACUCGUUUUCAACCACCCUCCAGUCUACAACAGCAGAACAGAAUUCCUGAAAUUCAGUUAUAUGCUUGCGGUUUCUGUUUGCCACUUUGGGAUUUAUAGUGGAUCCAUCCGGACACCCUAUGAAAAGUUUCUACUGUCAAUAUCACUGCCAGUUUAUAUGCUACAAAUAUUUAAAAUUAAAGAUGAUAGGUGCUUAUAUUGUUUUGUAUUCAUGAAAUUAUCUUCCAUCCUUCCUUAAUUACUAAAACCUUUUUUAAACAAAAGAUCUUAAAAAGUGAAUAUGGUCAAAACUGGAGCAGCAAAUAGCCUGUGAUAUCUUUGCUCCAAAACAAACUGAAUCCUUCAAUAUCCUUAAUGCAACUCGACAUAUAUUCUUCCACGGUACCCUCCGCUCUCACCUUUUCCAAUCCUAUGUCUCGAAUUUGUAAUGCAGAUUUUCUUUUGAAAAGCACAUUUAAGUAUUAGUUUGUCUUCACAGUUAACUGGAUCUUAUUGCAAAUGUGUGCAUAUUUAAUGCAAUAAUACUUCAUUUGCAUAUGUAAACAUAAAUAAUCAGAAAAUUUGCAGCACAAAAAAAAUAAUUGUCUUAAUGUAUGCAAUCAACUGAGGAAGUUUCAUGGUGAUAUCUAUGAGUUAAAAAGGUCACCUGAUUCAUCUGUAGUGUCUCCCAUUAAAGACAAACCAAACCCACAGGGUUCUCCGACUUCCUCCCACAGUCAAAAAACAAGCUGAGGUUAAUUGGUGAUUCUAAAUCUUCCAGACCGGUGACCUGUUCAGGGUGUCCCCUGCCUUCAUGCCAAGUCAGCUGGGAUAUACUCCAGUCCCCGGAGGACCCUUUAUGGUGAUUAAGUGGUGUAUAGAUAAUGGAUGGAUGGGUGCAUGAAUGUCAUACUAUAGGUUUUAUGCCAUUUUUAUAUAGUACAAGUAAUAAAUAAUAAUAAUAAUGUUUUAUUUGUAUAGCGCUUUUCUGAGCACUCAAAGACACGGUACAGACAGGAAAUAAAAACAAAAACAGACAAAGGAGAGCAGGUUUAAAACACACACAACAGUUAAACAUUAACAGUGAUCCUACAAAGGUGAGUUUUUAUAAGAGAUUUAAAAACAUGACAACAUUUCCAUGAAACAAAGUGACUGUAUGAUUUAACAUCGUAUUUAUUAAACAGAAACAAUAAUUCCCUCAA